rnacentral:rRNA from 1 species
UACAGAGGGUGCGAGCGUUGUCCGGAAUCACUGGGCUUAAAGGGCGCGUAGGCGGGCUGUCAAGUCUGGGGUGAAAUGCCGCGGCUCAACCGUGGAACUGCCUUAGAUACUGACGGCCUCGAGGAAGGUAGGGGCAUGCGGAACUGUAGGUGGAGCGGUGAAAUGCGUUGAUAUCUACAGGAACUCCGGUGGCGAAAGCGGCGUGCUGGACCUUUUCUGACGCUGAGGCGCGAAAGCUAGGGGAGCAAACGGG